UCCGUACGAGCGCACCCUUGUCCCUAGUUGCCAGCACUUCGGGUGGGAACUCUAGGGAGACUGCCGGUGAUAAACCGGAGGAAGGUGGGGAUGACGUCAAGUCAUCAUGGCCCUUAUGGGGAGGGCUACACACGUGCUACAAUGGCCGGUACAGAGGGCAGCGAAGCCGCGAGGUGGAGCGAAUCUCAGAAAACCGGUCGUAGUCCGGAUUGCAGUCUGCAACUCGACUGCAUGAAGCCGGAAUCGCUAGUAAUCGCGGAUCAGAACGCCGCGGUGAAUACGUUCCCGGGCCUUGUACACACCGCCCGUCACACCAUGGGAGUGGGCUGUACCAGAAGUAGGUAGUCUAACCUUCGGGAGGACGCUUACCACGGUGUGGUUCAUGACUGGGGUGAAGUCGUAACAAGGUAGCCCUAGGGGAACCUGGGGCUGGAUCA
rnacentral:rRNA from 1 species